GCAGCAGUGAUGGCGUUCUUGCAAGUCUUGCCCAGUGAACUCCGAUCGCGCAUCACCUCUGUCCCUCCUUUCAGACCUGUCUGAUUUGAGGACGUUUUUGUGAUUUGGAGUUAUGUGGGGCACUCUGGCAAGGACGAUGUCUCUAGAAUUUACCCUGAAUGGCGCCAAAAACAAAUAACAAACAGUGAGGGGCAGUUCUGUGGAUGGAAAUGCCUUGUUGAUGAGAGAGGUCAACAGAGAAUGGCCAGACUGGUUCGAACUGACAAAGUCUACGUGAAACUUUGCCAGUGGAGUAUCUAGGUGGGAAGCCACUAUGUAUGAACAAGUACUAUCAAGUGCUAUCAUCCUGUCGGAUCCCUGGAACAAAGAGGGACACUGUGGUAAACUAUGCCCUGGACAAAAGGCCCCCCUUAGUGCACAACUUCCAGUGACGACACACCACUGACUGUAGAUCAGAUCUACAUGCAGCUGGAGAAGAUAUGGAACUCCUCCUUACAGACCAACAAAGAACCUAUUGGCAUCCUCACAUUCAACCACUGCAACAGCUGGGGCAAAGCUUACAACAAC